ACAAGAACCAGUGACUGUCAACACUUGUCUGUUUCUGUGUGUCAAUCCUGUAGAAGCACACUUGGUCGUUUGGUGCUCACCGUCAGCUGUAGCCAGUGCCACCAUUGCACAAAGAACUAAAGUCACAGUCAGCAUCUUAGCCAGGAAGAUGGUGCAGAGGUUGAAGACGACGAACUGGGAAACCUUGGAAGUCGCACAAAAGAGCUGCUGAGUCAUCACAAUCUGCAUGAGAGAGAAGGCAAAAAGCAUCUUUCUUUAUUCCUUCCUUACCUGAAAAUGGCUGUCCACCAACGUUCACCAUCCAACCAGACAGAACUUGAGAGGAUCUGACGGGAAGAAUGGCAGAGGAUACCCAAAUCCAGCAGGAGAGAAACGCGACCGUGGUUCAGCUCCGUGCUAAAAUGAGACCCUCAACAACAGCCACGCUUGCUGCGUCCCUGCUUUGCGCCGCGAUGGCACUGACUGCAGUUGACGGUGAGCCCGUUGAGCAAUUUCUCUUCUUUCUGCAUUUGAAUGCUAUGAAUGACGUGUUGUACCAAGCACAGAGUAGAUACAGUCGUGGUCAGAAGUGUACAUACACUUGUAAAGAACAUCAUGU